rnacentral:rRNA from 1 species
ACUAAACAGCUAGCUCAAAACAUUAAAAGUAAAAUUGACAACAUAACACAACCACCAAAAACUAAUAAUAAAAACUAAACCAUUCGACCACCCCAGUACGGGCGACAGAAAAGGACCAAUGAAGCCAUAGACAAA